GGGUUGUGAGGUUAAGCGACUAAGCGUACACGGUGGAUGCCCUGGCAGUCAGAGGCGAUGAAGGACGUGCUAAUCUGCGAUAAGCGUCGGUAAGGUGAUAUGAACCGUUAUAACCGGCGAUUUCCGAAUGGGGAAACCCAGUGCAAUUCGUUGCACUAUCGUUAAGUGAAUACAUAGCUUAACGAAGCGAACCGGGGGAACUGAAACAUCUAAGUACCCCGAGGAAAAGAAAUCAACCGAGAUUCCCCCAGUAGCGGCGAGCGAACGGGGAGCAGCCCAGAGUCUGAAUCAGCGCGUGUGUUAGUGGAACGGUCUGGAAAGUCCGGCGGUACAGGGUGAUAGCCCCGUACACUAAAAUGCACACGUUGUGAACUCGAAGAGUAGGGCGGGACACGUGGUAUCCUGUCUGAAUAUGGGGGGACCAUCCUCCAAGGCUAAAUACUCCUGACUGACCGAUAGUGAACCAGUACCGUGAGGG
rnacentral:rRNA from 1 species